rnacentral:rRNA from 1 species
AUUGAACGCUGGCGGCAGGCCUAACACAUGCAAGUCGAGCGGAGCGGCGGACGGGGGAGUGAGGCCUAGGAAGAGGCCUGGUAGAGGGGGAUAACGUCCGGAAACGGGCGCUAAUACCGCAUAAUAGCAGAUGAGCCUAGGCCGGAUUAGCUAGGUCGUGGGGUAAAGUCCUACCAAGGCGACGAUCCGGAACUGGUCUGAGAGGAUGAUCAGUCACACUGGAACUGAGACACGGUCCAGACUCCUACGUGAGUCAGCAGUGGGGAAUAUUGGACAAUGGGCGAAAGCCUGAUCCAGCCAUGCCGCGUGUGUGAAGAAGGUCUUCGGAUUGUAAAGCACUUUAAGUUGGGAGGCGUGACCAACAGAAUAAGCCACGGCUAACUACGUGCCAGCAGCCGCGGUAAUUC